rnacentral:rRNA from 1 species
UACAGAGGGUGCAAGCGUUGUUCGGAAUUAUUGGCGUAAAGGGCGCGUAGGCGGUGCGGUAAGUCUGUGAGUGAAAUCUCUGGGCUCAACUCAGAGUCUGCUGCAGAAACUGCCGUGCUUGAGUGUGGGAGAGGUGAGUGGAAUUCCGGUGUAGCGGUGAAAUGCGUAGAUAUCGGGAGGAACACCUGUGGGCGAAAGCGGCUCACUGGACCACAACUGACGCUGAGGCGCGAAAGCUGAGGGGAGCAAACAAGGGAUUAAGAAACCCUGGUAC